UACGUAGGGACCAAGCGUUGUUCGGAUUUACUGGGCGUAAAGGGCGCGUAGGCGGCUUAACAAGUCACUUGUGAAAUCUCCGGGCUUAACUCGGAACGGCCAAGUGAAACUGUCAAGCUAGAGUGCAGAAGGGGCAAUCGGAAGUUCUUGGAUGUAGCGGUGAAAUGACGUAGAUAUCAAGAGGAACACCUGAGGUGAAGACGGGUUGCUGGGCUGACACUGACGCUGAGGCGCGAAAGCCAGGGGAGCAAACGGG
rnacentral:rRNA from 1 species